GACAGAGGAUGCAAGCGUUAUCCGGAAUGAUUGGGCGUAAAGCGUGCGCAGGCGGUUAUGUAAGACAGUUGUGAAAUCCCCGGGCUCAACCUGGGAACUGCAUUUGUGACUGCAUCGCUGGAGUGCGGCAGAGGGGGAUGGAAUUCCGCGUGUAGCAGUGAAAUGCGUAGAUAUGCGGAGGAACACCGAUGGCGAAGGCAAUCCCCUGGGCCUGCACUGACGCUCAUGCACGAAAGCGUGGGGAGCAAACAGG
rnacentral:rRNA from 1 species